rfam:Canis lupus familiaris chromosome 20, whole genome shotgun sequence.
AUCCUUUUGUAGUUCAUAAGCAUGGUGAUUGAGUGUUGAUGCCACUAUAUGACAUGUGCUUCACUCAAACCUUAUUACAACCUCUGCACAUAACUGGUCUGAUA